UUGAAAGGGAAACGAUUGAAGUCAGUCGUACCGGCGGGUAAUCAGCCUUUCGGGUAUGAUUCUGUGGAGCGUGAGGAGUUAAACGCCUUCAUGCCUGCAUAUUCGUGCUCUUGGGUGUAUUUGCUCGUGUAGUUGGUUAACAUCAAUUUCGGAUAUCAUAAAAUGGCUGGAGGAAUGUAGCUUCGAUUUCGAUUGAAGUGUUAUAGCCUUCGGCAGAUGUGAUGAUCGGGAUUGAGGAUUGCAACGGAUACCCUUCGGGGCUACCUGUCUGAUCUCUGAUCGUUGCUCUGGUGCCGAAAGCUUGCUUACGGUUAUCAAAGUCGAUGGUCAACAGGUUAGAACGGGUUAAAUUCGUUAAGGAUGUUGACGUA
rnacentral:rRNA from 1 species